GCCCAGAUGGCGGAAUUGGUAGACGCGCUGGAUUCAAAAUCCAGUGAUAGCAAUAUCGUGCGGGUUCGAUUCCCGCUCUGGGUA
rnacentral:tRNA from 1 species